AGACAAUAGUCUAAUAUUAUAGAUAAAACAACAUAAUAAAACAAAUCAUAAUAUGAUGAGGUGUAGGCUGGAUAUGUUAAGUACGAUAAAACGAAAAUAAGUUUAAUUGAAUAUUUCCCCUACCCAUUAAAGUAAAAUACCUUAAAAUAGUCGUUAUCAAGUCUAGACUGCGUUUUCUGAAAGCGUGUGAGAAGAUGUGAGAUAGAUAUAAAAAGAUUGACAAUGAGCGUAUACCUAGGUAGGUUGAUAUAUCCAAAAAGAAAAAAGUGUUUGAAAUGAAGAUUGUACAGUGUACAUGCAGUAGUUAAAUUAUUUAAUUCACUAUAGAACAAAGUAGGUACACAAACGUUUAAA